GGAUCAACAGCAAUUGCUCUUACAACAGCAACAGCAACAGCAACAGUAUCAAAAACAACAUAAAUCACAGCCACAGGGAGCGUCCGAAGAGGUCAAGACUAUAUGGAUCGGUGACUUGCUUCAUUGGAUGGAUGAAACUUAUCUACAUAAUUGCUUCUCUCAUACAGGCGAGGUUUCCUCUGUUAAAGUGAUACGCAAUAAGCAGACUGGUCAGCCAGAAGGGUAUGGAUUUGUUGAGUUUUAUUCACAUGCAACAGCUGAGAAAGUUUUGCAGAGCUAUAAUGGCUCUGUGAUGCCAAACACAGAUCAGCCCUUCCGCCUUAAUUGGGCAAGCUUUGCAGGUGACAGGCGAUUGGACGCUGGUUCUGACCUAUCUAUAUUUGUUGGCGAUUUGGCUGCAGAUGUGACUGAUGCUAUGUUGCAGGAAACCUUUGCCAGUAAAUAUCCAUCUGUCAAGGGAGCCAAAGUUGUAACUGAUCCAAACACUGGCUGUUCAAAAGGUUAUGGUUUUGUUAGGUUUGGUGAUGAAAAUGAGAGGUCAAGGGCCAUGGUAGAGAUGAAUGGAAUUUAUUGCUCAAGUAGGCCCAUGCGCAUAGGUGUUGCAACUCCCAAAAAGUCAUCUGGAUAUCAACAGUAUUCUUCACAAGCUUUGGUGUUGGCUGGUGGACAUGCUCCAAAUGGUGCUAUGGCCCAGGGAUCCCAAUCUGAUGGAGACUCUAAUAAUACAACUGUGAGUUUGGCUCUCUCAUGCUGAAUUGUCCGUGCAGUGUACACAAUUGUAUGAGUUUCAUUCAUGUAAUUUCGCAGAUAUUUGUGGGAGGAAUUGACUCUGACAUCAGUGAUGAGGAUCUGAGGCAGCCUUUUUCCCAGUUUGGUGAGGUUGUGUCUGUGAAGAUACCUGUUGGGAAGGGAUGUGGUUUUGUGCAAUUUGCUAACAGAAAGAGUGCUGAGGAUGCGCUGCAGAGUUUGAAUGGCACAACAAUUGGAAAGCAGACAGUUCGCCUCUCUUGGGGUCGCAGUCCAGCACACAAGCAGUGGAGAGGGGAUCAUAAAUAUAAUCAGUGGAAUGGUGCAUAUUUUGGAGAGCAAGGGUAUGGUGGAUAUGGAUAUGCAAUGGCACCAAAGCAGGAUCAGAACAUGUAUGUUGCAGCUGCAGCUUCAGGCGCAUCUUAACUGCAGCACAACAAUUACCAACAGCAGCUUGUGGGACAGGCCUUCAUCGGCUGUCAUCAAAACUAUGAUUAGAUGUAGGAUUGCUUUAGCCGCUGCUUCUGCUUCUGCUUUGGCUUUCUGUACUCUGGAGGAUUUUGUAGCUUUGAUUGAACUUUUAUGUCAUGAAGUUGUGUUGAAGUUGUAUCAAUAUUUGCUGAAUUUUUUUGGGUUUGCUUGGAGAGUCCCAUUGAUGGGUGGGAGUCUUUAGUUUGUUGGUGUUAAACUUCAAGCAACAAGAAAUGAUGAAAGCUUUUUGACUAUUUGUUGAUUCUGCUUAUAAAUUAGGAAUUCUGAACUGGGUUUCUG
rnacentral:misc_RNA from 1 species